UCAAGUCGAGCGAGACCUUCGGGUCUAGCGGCGGACGGGUGAGUAACGCGUGGGAAUAUGCCCUUUGGUACGGAAUAGCCUCGGGAAACUGAGAGUAAUACCGUAUGUGCCCUUCGGGGGAAAGAUUUAUCGCCGAAGGAUUACCCCGCGUUGGAUUAGGUAGUUGGUGGGGUAAUGGCCUACCAAGCCUACGAUCCAUAGCUGGUUUGAGAGGAUGAUCAGCCACACUGGGACUGAGACACGGCCCAGACUCCUACGGGAGGCAGCAGUGGGGAAUCUUAGACAAUGGGGGCAACCCUGAUCUAGCCAUGCCGCGUGAGUGAUGAAGGCCUUAGGGUUGUAAAGCUCUUUCAGSUGGGAAGAUAAUGACKGUACCASCAGAAGAAGCCCCGGCUAACUCCGUGCCAGCAGCCGCGGUAAUACGGAGGGGGCUAGCGUUGUUCGGAAUUACUGGGCGUAAAGCGCACGUAGGCGGACUGGAAAGUUGGAGGUGAAAUCCCAGGGCUCAACCUUGGAACUGCCUUCAAAACUAUCAGUCUGGAGKUCGAGAGAGGUGAGUGGAAUUCCGAGUGUAGAGGUGAAAUUCGUAGAUAUUCGGAGGGAACACCAGUGGCGAAGGCGGCUCACUGGCUCGAUACUGACGCUGAGGUGCGAAAGUGUGGGGAGCAAACAGGAUUAGAUACCCUGGUAGUCCACACCGUAAACGAUGAAUGCCAGUCGUCGGGCAGUAUACUGUUCGGUGACACACCUAACGGAUUAAGCAUUCCGYCUGGGGAGUACGGUCGCAAGAUUAAAACUCAAAGGAAUUGACGGSGGYCCGCACAAGSCGGUGGAGCRWUGUGGKUUAAUUCG
rnacentral:rRNA from 1 species